rnacentral:rRNA from 1 species
AUGCCCAUGACUUCAGUCCUAGCAUGUCGCAUGCCACAGCUUCUGCCACCUCAGUAUCUUCAACUUGUUGGAGUACUGGCCAACCUCAUGGAACCACAGCAUGGUUCUUCCAUCCCACCCUUUUCUUCUCAAGGAAACACACAUCAGUAUUCUUCAUAUGGUGGUGGAUACCAGAGUGGUAGUACAACAAAAAAGAUUGAUAUCCCAAAUGGAAGAAAUCAUUAUCUUUUGAAAGAUUCAAGGACGUUCGAGGAGUGA